UGGGGAAUAUUGCACAAUGGGCGCAAGCCUGAUGCAGCCAUGCCGCGUGUAUGAAGAAGGCCUUCGGGUUGUAAAGUACUUUCAGCGGGGAGGAAGGGAGUAAAGUUAAUACCUUUACUCAUUGACGUUACCCGCAGAAGAAGCACCGGCUAACUCCGUGCCAGCAGCCGCGGUAAUACGGAGGGUGCAAGCAUUAAUCGGAAUUACUGGGCGUAAAGCGCACGCAGGCGGUUUGUUAAGUCAGAUGUGAAAUCCCCGGGCUCAACCUGGGAACUGCAUCUGAUACUGGCAAGCUUGAGUCUCGUAGAGGGGGGUAGAAUUCCAGGGGUAGCGGUGAAAUGCGUAGAGAUCGGGAGGAAUACCGGUGGCGAAGGCGGCCCCCUGGACGAAGACUGACGCUCAGGUGCGAAAGCGUGGGGAGCAAACAGG
rnacentral:rRNA from 1 species